AGUGAACGCUGGCGGUAGGCCUAACACAUGCAAGUCGAACGGCAGCACAGUAAGAGCUUGCUCUUACGGGUGGCGAGUGGCGGACGGGUGAUGAAUACAUCGGAAUCUACUUUUUCAUGGGGGAGAACGUAGGGAAACUUACGCUAAUACCGCAUACGACCUACGGGUGAAAGCAGGGGAUCUUCGGACCUUGCGCGAUUGAAUGAGCCGAUGUCGGAUUAGCUAGUUGGGGGGGUAAAGGCCCACCAAGGCGACGAUCCGUAGCUGGUCUGAGAGGAUGAUCAGCCACACUGGAACUGAGACACGGUCCAGACUCCUAUGGGAGGCAGCAGUGGGGAAUAUUGGACAAUGGGCGAAAGCCUGAUCCAGCCAUACCGCGUGGGUGAAGAAGGCCUUCGGGUUGUAAAGCCCUUUUGUUGGGAAAGAAAAGCAGCAGGUUAAUACCCCGCUGUUCUGACGGUACCCACAGAAUAAGCACCGGCUAACUUCGUG
rnacentral:rRNA from 1 species